GACGUAGGAUCCGAGCGUUGUCCGGAGUUACUGGGCGUAAAGCGCGCGUAGGCGGAACGUUAAGUCCGGUCUGAAAGCCCCCGGCUCAACCGGGGAGGGUGGCUGGAAACUGGCGUUCUUGAGGGCGAGAGAGGAGGGUGGAAUUCCUGGUGUAGCGGUGGAAUGCGUAGAGAUCGGGAAGAACAUCAGUGGCGAAGGCGGUCUGCUGGGCCGCGACUGACACUGAGAGACGAAAGCGAGGGGAGCAAAUGGG
rnacentral:rRNA from 1 species